CCUGCAACCAGUUAAGUUUACUGAUUCAUUGCUCGCUGUAUUCUGUUGCACCGCUGACAUUUAACAUGUAUUUAAUCACCGAGUGACAUCAGUCCUUCAUUUCCAGUAUAUCCUAGCAACAGACAACAGAAAGAAGAAAAAAACGACAAAUACAAGGAGAAGUAGAAAGAAGAAUAUGAGCUCUCCAGUGCCGAUGUCAGUGUGGCUUCCCUGUGCAGGACAUCAGAGAGAAAAGAAGCUGCUGCUGGUAGUGGUGAAGCUGCUGGAGCUGUUGGAGUUGGCUCUGCUGCUGCAGGGUGAGUUGAGCCUGGUGCUGCUGAAGGUUGGUGUGUCCCGCCCCUCCCAGCGGCCCCGCUGAUGGUUUGCCCCAGCUCUGCCACUCAAUCAUGUGAGCGACGCGACCCUGGGCCAUGGCGGUGGGCUUGGUCACUUUGUCCUUCAUGGAGCGAGUCACCCCUACAACAGGUCUAUAAAUUACGCAGAGGAGUCAUGUUUGAGGAAGUAAACAACUCGAGGGCCGCCAUGGGAUCAGUGCUCAACAAGAACAGCACUCGAUCACAAUGAAUUCUGCUACUGAUGCCAUGGCCACCGCGGGUCAACACUGAACCAAAGCUUCAAAGUUUCUGUUUAAGGGUCCACAGCUGAGAAGUGAUACAUGGCUCAGUAAUAGUCUGAGCCCUGGGGGGAGCAGCUCUGUGGCCUUGUUUACAAGUAAGCGACCUUUCAUGAGGCCGAGGCCCGGCCGUCUAACAGCAGGAGGCAGCUCUGGGUCCACGAUGAUCCAACCUUUAUGUCAAGGAUCAUCACUGGUGACUGGAGUUGGGUCUCCAGCAAUGACCCAGAGACAAAACAGUCUUUAGAGUGGAAGACCCUGCAGUCUCCAAGACUGAAGAAGGCACGACAGAGAGCAUGUCCCCCAGGGUCAGACUGUCAACGCCAAGUUCUACUGCACCAAUCUGAGGGAGGACCUUCGGCGCAAAUGACCUUAUGAUGGGUGCUCUAUCAUCAUGCCAUCGACAAUCGUUGCUCCCCACCCGUUCUCCUCGCCGGAUUUAGCAAGUAGGGCCAAAUCUGGCAAGAGUCACAGCUGAUGCUUGAUGUACUUACAGAAUAGGAUUUCCGGGGAGCAUUCCAAGCGUGGCAAGAGGGCUGGGAGGGGUGUAUCGCUGCAUAAGGUGACUACUCUGAAGGAAAUGGCAGCCAAAAUUAAAUCAGGUAUGUUUUUUCCUUGUGGCCUAUGUGCAACAGAGAGGGAAGUUAAGGUAAUCAGACUAACACACUAUUGGUUUUAGUCUUUUCACGGGAUUUGUUAAUUUAUCCUUUAAUAUCAAAAGCAAAUGAAUAUCUUGGGUCAAUUACAUAAGUUAUGAUACGUAGAAAAAUAUUUCUGUAAACAGAGAAGGGCCUGUAUGGAUAGAUACAUCUAGAAUUAAGGAAUCUGAGAAAAACUUUGGUUCUACAUCUCUGUGUAAUGGAGUUAUGAGCAGAACCUGUCAGAGGUAAUCAGUGAAAAACAGACCAGACAGCAUGACCGAACGAGACGCUCUGUGCUAUCAGAGUAUGUAGAGAGCCAAUAGAUAAGCUGAAGUGUUCGUCUUGAUAAACGUUUUUAUAAAAGGACAGUGUGUGCUGGGACAGUCUCCAGCCCCCCUGUGACCUUGGAGAGGGUAAGUGGGUUAAGACAAUUAAUUAAUUAAGAAAUGUACGUAUGAGGAUAGUCUUAGCUGCUGAAGCCUUCGACAGAGUCAAAACUGAGCCCCCUCCGUAAAUUUAUACCAAUCUGAGCCAGACUCACAAAUUUCUGCUUUAACAAACAACAGUGUUGAAUCCAAAGCAAAUUAUAUAUUUAAUUAUGACUUUGUGUUAUUUAAAUUAAGUCAAAACACAGACCAGUAGAAACUGUAAACAUGAGCUGUGUGCAGCUCAUCACUGUACAGGAAUUUGAAAUUCAAACUUUUCCCUCUGAGUGCCAUUUAGAAAUUGUGAAAUUGCCCAGUGCCGCUUUUAGUUACUUUCCAAGCUGCUUGUCACAUCUAAAAUUCAUCUAGCACGGCAGCUUCAGGCAUCCAUGUUCAGAACCUGGAGCAGGAAUGUGUCCGCAGAACCAUUGAGAUGCAAAUUUAGAGGGGAAAACGGGAAACGAGAGACUCAGAAAAGACAAGCCUGAAGGAGGCAUCACCUUCUUUUUCCAUUACUGGCCUGAAUCGAUUUAGCUAAAAAUAAAACCAGCAAGACUCCGCUCUGAUCCCAUUGCAUUCACAGAUGACCGCACGGGCCAAGUGUCACAUCAGAUGCGACUUGCAUUAUCCAACCUGUGUUUAUUUAUGUGGAAAUCGAGCUGUUGUCUGCCAAACUGUGAGUCUGUUCUUUACUCUUAGUCGCAGCGUCUCACUCUGUCGCUGUUUGCUGCCAACUGAAACACAGAAGCCAAAACAGGACUACACUUGCAGACUGAUGGAUCACAUUUCAUCUCAGAUGGCAAAAACAUUGGCAAACAAAUCUCUGCUUUAUGUAUAGAGUUCAUUAUUAUUAUCCUUGUGAUAUUCAUGACAGUAAAUCUGCUCGACUGUCAUGAGGUAACUUUUGGAUGCAUGAAAUAGUAGUGGGCAUAUUUACAUUUUGUCUAAUGCACCAUUCUCCAUUAUAAGCAUGAAAAAUGCGGGUGAACAGCCAACCUCAGUAACACUGCAAUAUUACCGCUCAUUGAGCCAUCCAAUGCUGUAUAAUGACCAUGCUGAAGCAGGAAAUCUGUUAAUUAAGGGCUUCAGGGUUGAAACGUGAACAAAAUAUUCAUGAUUUCCACUGAGAGGUGACUGAAUUCCCUGAUUCUUUUUUAUAUUCCCAGCUCUUUUUUAAGCCCCCCUGUAGUGAGGUAGUAAAGCUAAUGGUAACAUUUAGCACUUGUAUUUGUCCCUGUUAGACUGAAAGGUGACAAACAUCUGGCUGACUGACCACUAGAUGAAGCAAUUUCAUACAUUUCUGUCAUAAACUUCUUAUUAAGUUGUGACCAACUCUGUCUGUUCAGAGUGAAUCAAAAUAUUGUGAAAAUAUUGAUUAGAGCAGCUUUAAGUUUAAACUUAGUCUUAGUCAUGUUAAUCAAUUAUGCUCAUGACUUUAAUGGAGUUGAAAUAGUAAGAUUUUAUUAGCAUAGCAUAUUGAUAACCUGGAUUUUUAGUGUGCAUGUUUUGGCAGCAGCAAGAGCACUCUCCUGUAAAGAGUUUGCCAAAGAUUCACAACAGUCCGACUGUGAAACAGUAACACCUGCUAUUAGACCCUCAGUGAAAACAAUCCGUCCCACUGUGCUUCACUGUGCGACCUUGUGCUUUUUCACUGUAUGUUUUGUAGUCAGAAGCACUUUUUAAAAACACAAAAGAUGUUUUGAUGUUGAAUGCGACCCUGUCUUCAUCUGAUGGUGACCACCACCUGAUAUCCUGUGUCCAACUGCAGCUGCACUUAAAGCGUAAACACGAGAGCGGGCGUAGUGAAGAAGACAUGCAGCCUCAAACAACGUCCAUGCUGCUGUGCCUGUUGUCAGCCACUCGGGCUGGAUUUGGAAGGAGAUCUGCUGGAAGCUGUUCUUCCAGACAAAACAGAGCUCAGGCUUCCAGAGUUUAUAAUGACGGCAGAUGGUGGACGGAGUGAAACAGCGACAACACCUCCAACAUGUUUAUUCUCUUCUCGUAGACGGGAGGAGAAGCCAGUCAGGCUGCUUUUUGCCUUAUUUUCAAUUCAAAUGACAUUAAGGCAUUAUCUGUAAUUUGACAGCACUCUGAAGCACCUCUCUUUAUGCAGACAUUAGCUACACACUAAAAUGCGCUGCAAACCUCAAGUCAAAGCAUCAGCUGUCACAGACUGCAAAAAAAGCUAGUAAGUGGACCUUGAGUUAAGAUUUUUUUUGUCAAACUUCUGCUUCCAAGGUUGGAUCUGAACUCUGAUUCUGUGAAAAGUGGUUUGUUUUUUGAAAUUCAAGCUUAUUCUGUUGAGAUUCCAGAAAUAUCUGGUUAUCAGUGCACAGGAAAUGUGCCAAAGGCUGGGUGACUGCUCCGAACGGAGACGAAACGUGUUAAUGUUAAAUGAUGUUUUAACUGCCUUGUUGCACAGACUGUGCUGUCAUAAAUCUACUGGGCCCCAUGACAAUCGACACCGUUCUCUAACCCUGCACCUUCAGUAAUGUACCUCGCCUCAGAGUCCUGCCCUCACCCAAACAAAAAGAGCAGAAACUCGGCGGGUUGACCUGAUUCUGUACGCUCAGGCAAAACUACAAUGGCUGGCACACUGGCUUGAUAGGCAGUUUCAUCUGAAUGGUCCAGCCAUCAUCCCUGCUUAUCUAGCUCCACUUGUGUUACACAUUGCUUCUGGUUAUAUAAAGAAAAUGACCCUGUGCACUUUUAAGCCACCCUUGAAUCCUCCACACGCCCAAGCAAAGAGCAGAUACUCAGCAGUCUGACCCAGCCUUAUAUCUACAUUGUAUGUGUUUAGGCAAAACUACACUGGCUGGCCCAACUGGCUUGAUAGGCAGCAAAUGUUGUAACUAAAGUGAGUACAGGUGAUUGACAGCGUGCAGGAUCUUGUGGUUCUUUCACAGAGUCAGUCAGUUUUGAUCCAGAACAGCUGUCUCUGAGACUGUCUGGAAUGCAGGACCUUUGAAGUAACUGUGUUAAGUCUGUAAGUUCCCUGAUAUGUCGAAUCCUGAGAGGUUAGCCAUUGAAAAGAUAUAUUUAGGUUCACAGUCUAGACUCAGCUGCAUUGCAGUACAGAUUUUGUUUUACAGGUAAAGCAGUCUGAGAUCUGCUGGGAAGAUCUUUCUCACACAGUGGAUGUGAACAGCCUGCAACGACGAUUUACAGUCUUUCAGCACAUAUCAACAAUCGAAGAGAGGAGUCACUGCGCCUUCGCAGCCCAGAGUGGAAGGUGUGGAGAUGGAGAGGCAGCUGUCCUCCAGAAAGCCUUUCUGUGUGACUGUCCUGCUGCCUAAGUGAUGACUGCUACACAUCAGCUCUACUGUAACAGGAGGAUAAUUGGCAGGCAGUGAUGCUUUGGUUAAAUGGCACUCCACAGGAAACACACAGCUGAGGGAAACAAUACAACACUGAAAGACUGAGCCAUGAUGAAUCAUUGAGCUCACAGGCAAAUAAACGUUCAGCAGGAGCAGCUGAGAGCUGCUCGGUGGAGCCUCGGCCUUGCGAUGCCUCAGCUUUCCCUGCCGGCUCUCUCUGACGGCUGAGAUGUUGACAGCAGGGCACAGUAAUGAAUACCAACAUCUCUGCCGCUGCAUGGAGUCUGUGUAAAUACUUUAUCAACAGGAAGGAGAAACACGUCACAGCACCGGUGAUGCCUGGGAAACACCAGCUAAAACAACGCUUAGCAACAAAGAAGAAGCUGAAGUCAACAAGAGGCAUUGGCCAAAGGAGCGAGCUGAGCGACAGCAGCAGACCUCAGACCAGCCCUGAGUCUCAGUCGCUGCAGAGAACGGCCGAUAAGCAGCGGAGGUGACGAGCUCGGCGACGCCUCGGCAUAAAAAUCUGACAGAGCCAGAGACGGUACGAAGCCCAGGUGACACACAGAGAGUGGCAGUGAAGUUAGCUGUGUGUGUGUGUGUGUGUGUUUUAACAGGUUUAUAAUGUGUUUCAUGGAGAUGCUUUGACUCCCUCCGUGUUGUGUGGAAGUCCAUCUGUCAUCCCGUCUGUCUGCAACUGUCAGUCUGUCUGGAGGUCACAUCUCCUCAGUCAGGUUGGAUCUCCCUCUGACUGAGUGAGAGUCAGCAGGUUAAACUGCUGGAAUCAGGCCAGAGAGUUCAGACUGAUGCUGAACUGUAGACCAGUUAAAAAGAACCAGCGUUCAUCUCUGACAUCCAGCCAGGAAACUGACGCAAAUAUCAGAAAUUAGAAACAGAGGCUGGUGUGUUUGUUACAGCACUUCCUGCUCCACAAGCCGGGGAUCAUGGGUAAUAAAACUACUUUGAUCAUUUUUUCCUUAAGACUUUUUCCCCACAAAGUGCCUGCCUCACUGUCGUCAGCAUCAGAUGGUAAGAAGCUUUUCUGUCUCAUGUAACCUAACAACCUUAAAAAGUGUCAGCCACUUACUGUAGGUAUAGAAGGACAGAAUUCAUGAAUAAAAUGAUGGAUGAGUCGGUGGAAAGACAAAUUAAUCAAUGAAAGAAGAAAUGAAGGUGAGUGAGUUGAUGCAUGGACACUGCAAAACAGCUCUAACAAAAACCAUCAUUUAAAUGUCAUUCUGUGGUUUUUAAAUGCCACAAUGAUUCAAAUUCAGUGUGAACUAAUAAACAACCAGGUGAAUGAAUUAUGAAUGAAGAAUCCCACACAGUCCACCUCAGCCUACCUCAGCAGCAUCCAUCCCAUCUCAUUUACCUCUCCUCACCUGGUUUCCUGCCAGUUAUCCCUGCAUCCUCUCUGCAGAGCUGAUUAGAGGCCCCUUCCUGUAACAGAGGACAAGACAAGGACGGCACGCUCUCCGUCUGCCAGGAAAGCUCUUAGAUUCAGUCGGGCUGGCCGAGGCAGAGGCUGCAGCUCGAUGAAGACGGAUGGUCUAAUCCUGCGGGGGAAAGCCUCUCACCUGUGUGGAUUUCCUGUUGCUGAGGUCCUGCUGAUUUUUGGAUGUGUUUGCCAACAAGCUGUCGGCUCACAGGAGGGAGCACAACCAAAGACCUUCAGUGUCACAGAGUCAUCUGAGGCUGAGAGAAGGAUGAAGAGAUGCAGAGACAGAAGAUGAUGAUACAGACAGCAGAUAAUUAUACAGAUUAAAUUUGCAUUUAUGACUAAACUGAAGCUCCUGCUGUGGACUGCUGCAAAUAGAUUCUCUCCAAAAGCUCCCUGGCUGCUGCUGAACCACAGUAAAAGAAAUUCCCUGCAGGUGACUCUGUGUGAGAGAAAUGAAUAUAUUUCGAGUAGAAGAAAGAAUACACAUCAUAUUCAUUACUGAUUGGUGAAAUAAUAAUAAAUUCAGAGUGAACUGCAGGGACUCACAUUUAUUUGUAUUACACCUCAGCCCCAGAAAAGCCAGUUUUAUUAUCUAGUGACCUUUAAUGAAGUCAUUUCAUAUGAGCAGGCUGCUGUCAGUGAAGUGGUCUCUGCUCCAAUAAUGGCCACAUAAUAAUGGUUUCCUUGAUACAGGACGAGUCGGGGAAUCUGUUCAUUUCUCUGUGAAAGAUUUUUGAGAAUUUUACAAUUUUACAAUGUCCAGCUGGACUGCAGCAGAAAUCCAACUGAAAAGGAACAGUAACAAAAGAAUGAGAGAGAGAAAAAUAAAUCGCAGCCUCAGGUCGUGAAAAAGCUCUGACUUCUUUGUUGAGAAAAGUCCCAAAAUAGUUGUUGAAUUUUUAAACCAGAAUCUGACACGUUUGUACAGUCUGAGAGACAGAAAGACAAAUAUCAGACAGGAGAGAGCGAGACCUGAAUUAUUAACCAGCUGUCUAACCACAGGGGUUGUCAUAGCAACCAGGUUCCCCCCCUUUUUUUGAUAAAGCAUGGUUGUGGUGCAUCAUGGGAAUUAUCAGUGCAGCUGGAAUGUACCACCGACCAAUGACAAUGCACGUCUGAAUCUAGGCCUUUUAUAAACUGCAGACCUUCUCGCUCCUGAUGGCGUCUCUGACCCCGUGUUGUCCCACCAAAUGUCACACCCUUUGACAUAUUGAGACUAUAUGAAGAGAGCUCGGGCUCGGUGCAGGAGAAGGUUGGACGUCAUAUUUAUAGGCUGACCUUUACUUCACCCCACACUGACUGACUUAAAGGACUGUAUGUACAUUGGCCUGAAGGGUAAGAAGGUUCUGGUGAAAAUGGCACAGGUUUGAAUCCCAUGGAUGACUCGUAUUGCUUUCUGACAGAGGGGUGGCCUUCAGACGUAACACUUAGAUUUAAUGGACUGAUGGUGUUCUGGAUUUUUCUUCUUGUCAACAAACACAUGGAAAUUACAAAACCAAUAAACCCUGAUAUACCUUAAAUAUUUCACCAGAUAUUCCAUCAUGACGACUUGUUGUUUUAAAACUCUUCAGUUUCUUUUGGGAAGUUCACCUGCGUCCUGUUGCCUAAUAAAUCGCCCCUGCUGCCUUAUCAAUAACAGCCGGGGCAGAUGUUGCUCCAUUGUGUUUGACCAGCGUGUCGACAGAAUAUAAUUCAUGUGGAGAUUUGGACUGAUUAUCAUCCAGGAAUAAACUAAGACAGUCUCUGUGCUGGGUUACACUGGAGCUUUCACAUGGACAGUUUCUCAGUCAGCAGAAGCAUUUCAACAUUUGUCUUUGUCACCAUUUGAUCGAGGGAUCAGCUGAAAUAAAAUUAACUUUCUGGUUGUUUUUUAGCAAAUUUUGCAGCUGAUUAUUUUUGCAUGGAUGUGGUAGUUUUACAAGAGAAAACCAGGGCAAAUGUAGUUGAGAAGAGCAUGUUUUUUAGACGUCUGUUUUAACUAAGUGUCCUGCAGGAGGAUGAAGACUAAAAUGACUGUGGCAGUUUAAAGCCUGAGUGAAGCUUCCAUGACGUUUCCUCUCCACCUCCUCUCCGUUUGUGCUGUGGUUCACGUAGCAGGGGCCUUCACUCCAUCACAUGACAGUGUCAUACACUGAACAUGAGACUGGACAGGAGGGCACGGGACAGGGGGAGGGAGAGGUAAAGAUCAGCUACACUGAAAGCAUCUAAUUCACAAUCACUUCAACUCCACCACUUUAAACUGUGUGUGUGAAGUAAUUAACGUGCAGCAGUAUUUGUGUUGUCGAUUAGGUUUGUUUCUCGAUCAAUGGCACUAAAUCAGAUCUGACGCUCGCUGUAGGUAAAUGGACCAUUGAGAAAAGGCAGUUAUUUCAUGUUUAAUCUGAAAAUCAGCUCCACAGCAGGGGUCGAUCAGGGGCCAGUUAUUUUUCUUUUAUUGUGUAUUUAUUUUGAAUGCGUCCAGUGUUCUCCCUGGAGUGUUUUAUUUCUUUUAAGAAUAAAACAGAUUCAUGAA